UAGGGAAUCUUCGGCAAUGGACGAAAGUCUGACCGAGCAACGCCGCGUGAGUGAAGAAGGUUUUCGGAUCGUAAAACUCUGUUGUUAGAGAACAACAAGGACGUUAGUAACUGAACGUCCCCUGACGGUAUCUAACCAGAAAGCCACGGCUAACUACGUGCCAGCAGCCGCGGUAAUACGUAGGUGGCAAGCGUUGUCCGGAUUUAUUGGGCGUAAAGCGAGCGCAGGCGGUUUCUUAAGUCUGAUGUGAAAGCCCCCGGCUCAACCGGGGAGGGUCAUUGGAAACUGGGAGACUUGAGUGCAGAAGAGGAGAGUGGAAUUCCAUGUGUAGCGGUGAAAUGCGUGGAUAUAUGGAGGAACACCAGUGGCGAAGGCGGCUCUCUGGUCUGUAACUGACGCUGAGGCUCGAAAGCGUGGGGAGCAAACAGG
rnacentral:rRNA from 1 species